GGCCUUGUGGUGUAUUACAUAUUAGAUUGCAAACCUAAAGUCGUAGAUUAGAGUCUGCCUGGGCUU
rnacentral:tRNA from 1 species